rnacentral:rRNA from 1 species
GCCCUUAGAGUUUGAUCAUGGCUCAGAACGAACGCUGGCGGCAGGCCUAACACAUGCAAGUCGAGCGAUCCCUUCGGGGAUAGCGGCGGACGGGUGAGUAACGCGUGGGAACGUGCCCUUUUCUCCGGAAUAGCCCAUGGAAACGUGGAUUAAUGCCGGAUACGCCCUUUUGGGGAAAGAUUUAUCGGGGAAGGAUCGGCCCGCGUUGGAUUAGGUAGUUGGUGGGGUAAUGGCCUACCAAGCCGACGAUCCAUAGCUGGUUUGAGAGGAUGAUCAGCCACACUGGGACUGAGACACGGCCCAGACUCCUACGGGAGGCAGCAGUGGGGAAUCUUAGACAAUGGGGGAAACCCUGAUCUAGCCAUGCCGCGUGAGCGAUGAAGGCCUUAGGGUUGUAAAGCUCUUUCGCCUGGGAAGAUAAUGACGGUACCAGGUAAAGAAGCCCCGGCUAACUCCGUGCCAGCAGCCGCGGUAAUACGGAGGGGGCUAGCGUUGUUCGGAAUUACUGGGCGUAAAGCGCGCGUAGGCGGGCUGG